rnacentral:rRNA from 1 species
UACGUAGGGCGCAAGCGUUGUCCGGAAUUAUUGGGCGUAAAGAGCUCGUAGGCGGUCUGUUACGUCCGCUGUGAAAACCCAGGGCUUAACCCUGGGCUUGCAGUGGAUACGGGUAGACUAGAGGCAGGUAGGGGAGAAUGGAAUUCCCGGUGUAGCGGUGAAUGCGCAGAUAUCGGGAGGAACACCGGUGGCGAAGGCGGUUCUCUGGGCCUGACCUGACGCUGAGGAGCGAAAGCGUGGGGAGCAAACAGG